UACGAAGGGGGCUAGCGUUGCUCGGAAUUACUGGGCGUAAAGGGCGCGUAGGCGGGUCGUCAAGUUGGGGGUGAAAGCCCAGGGCUCAACCCUGGAACUGCCUUCAAAACUGGCGACCUAGAGUAUGGUAGAGGUGUGUGGAACUCCGAGUGUAGAGGUGAAAUUCGUAGAUAUUCGGAAGAACACCAGUGGCGAAGGCGACACACUGGGCCAUUACUGACGCUGAGGCGCGAAAGCGUGGGGAGCAAACAGG
rnacentral:rRNA from 1 species